ACGAGAGAGACGGGGUGACGGGGGAGAGAGGGAGGGUGUUUUGGUGCCUGUCGCUCGCCGUCCUUUUUCCUUCUCUGGUCGCUUUCGCCGCUCAGUCUUUUCCUCUCUCCCCCCUCCCCGGCCCCUGUCCUCCCUCCAGCCCCAGGCCUCUGUCCUCCCGCCUCGCCGCUUCUCCUGCGUUUCCCCCCCACCUCACCCUACCCAGUUCCCCGUUCCCUCCCCCAGUAUAUGCCCCGCAGCGCGGCCGCCCCCCGCUCCCCCCGGUCCUGCCGCCCCAUGUGGCUGCGGGACCGCCGCGGCGUUUCCCACUAUGGCCCGGAAAACAGUUAGCAGGAAGCGGAAAGCGCCCGCGGCGCCAGGGACCGGGAGCGGGACCCAGGGCCAUCAGUUUGGCUGGGAUCAUUCACUAAACAAAAGGAAAAGGCUCCCUCCAGUGAAGAGGUCCUUGGUCUACUACCUGAAAGGCAGAGAAGUCAGGUUGCAGAAUGAGUCCAGUUACUACCGAGUGUUGCAUGGUUAUGCAGCACAGCACCUUCCCAGUCUCCUGAAGGAGAGAGAGUUUCACCUGGGAACCCUUAACAAAGUGUUUGCAUCUCAGUGGCUGAAUCACCGGCAAGUGGUGUGUGGCACAAAAUGCAACACGUUGUUUGUGGUCGAUGUCCAGACAGGCCAGAUCACCAAGAUUCCCAUUUUGAAAGAUCGAGAACCUGGAGUGGUGACCCAGCAGGGCUGUGGUAUCCAUGCCAUCGAGCUGAACCCCUCAAGAACUCUACUGGCCACUGGAGGAGACAACCCCAACAGCCUUGCAAUCUAUCGGCUGCCUACGUUAGAUCCUGUGUGUGUGGGAGAUGAUGGACACAAGGACUGGAUAUUCUCUAUUGCAUGGAUCAGCGAUACCAUGGCAGUUUCUGGUUCACGGGAUGGUUCCAUGGGGCUUUGGGAGGUGACAGAAGAUGUGUUGACCAAAAGCGAUGCCAGGCACAACGUAUCCCGAGUCCCUGUGUAUGCUCACAUCACACAUAGGGCCCUAAAAGACAUCCCUAAGGAGAAUACUAAUCCUGACAACUGCAAGGUCCGGGCCCUGGCCUUCAACAAUAAAAACAAAGAGCUUGGAGCAGUGUCCCUCGAUGGCUACUUUCAUCUCUGGAAAGCAGAACAUACACUGUCCAAGCUCCUGUCCAUCAAGCUGCCAUACUGUCGUGAGAAUGUGUGUCUGGCCUAUGGCCAUGAGUGGUCUGUGUAUGCAGUGGGCUCCCAAGCUCAUGUUUCCUUCUUGGACCCACGACAACCGUCACACAAUGUCAAAUCAGUCUGCUCCAGAGAACGAGGCAGUGGCAUCCGUUCGGUGAGCUUCUACGAGCACAUCAUCACUGUGGGCACAGGGCAGGGCUCCCUGUUAUUUUACGACAUUCGCGCCCAGAGGUUUCUGGAAGAGAAGCACUUAUCCUGCUAUGGGUCCAAGCCCAAGCUCGCAGGGGAAAAUCUGAAGCUGACCACUGGCAAAGGCUGGCUGAAUCAUGAUGAAACUUGGAGGAAUUAUUUUUCAGACAUUGAUUUCUUCCCCAAUGCUGUUUACACCCACUGCUACGACUCGUCUGGAACGAAACUCUUUGUGGCAGGAGGUCCCCUCCCUUCAGGGCUCCAUGGGAACUAUGCCGGGCUGUGGAGCUAAUGAAUAACUCUUCUGAAAUGCAGAGAUUCACACUAACUUCCAUCUUCAGUUUCUUUGUUUCUUCUUUUCAUUUUUCAAUCGUGUGAUGCCCUUGUCUUAUUGGAACACCAGAAUCUACUUUUGACUUGGGCAUUUGACACUGGCUCCGUACGUUGGUCUAAAGUGGCUUUUUCUUUUUUCUCCCCUUUGGCAAUCAGAAUUUUGCUUUAAUAUUUUUUGGGGCUUUUUAUUUGCUUCUUACCGAAAGGAUUUUUUGUUAAUCCCAUAUUGUAUUUCCUUUUUAAGUGACACACACUUUCCCCUAUUUGGCUUCUGCUUUAGGCUGACACAGUCAUACUCAUCCCUACUUUGCUGUUGUGAGGGUUCCUAGUGCAGGGCUCUGCACUCAAGGGGAUACUAUCUAUGCUAAGGAUCUCAAGGGACUCUAUGGUGUCAUUGAAAACAUUAUUGUCCUCAUAUAAGAGGAGAAAACUGAGGCCGAUAAGACUUACCAGAGGGUGUCAAAGUCAAAAACAGAGACCUGAGACCACUGACACUAUCUCUGUUCCAAGCAUAGGCUGGUUUCCCUCCUAGAAGAAAAAAUGAAGAGCCCUGAGGAAUACCUCUUUACCCUCCAGAUUAUCAGGAGCUGUGAAAUGUUCCUAAAAAAACAAACACACACACAAAAACAGAAGCAGGCUUCAAUCAGGGGAAAAGAACCUGAAAUAACAGAGGGGAAACUUGACCCUUGUCAGGAAGUUGGAGAGUUGAAGGAUAUGAUCCUAUGGUCUCAGGAGGAGUAAAGGAAGGAAAAGGACAACUGUACCUGGGAGCUUAAAAGAGAAUGAGAGAGAGAGAGAGAAAGAGAGAGAGAGAGAGAGAGAGAGCCUGAAGAGGAAAGAGUGGGGUGCCCUAAGAAGGAAGCGAUUGCUUGACUUCCAAGGACUGAGGAAGAGCCACAGAAGCUAUCAGGUGAGAGAUCAUUUGGUAAAGGUCAGAAUACUUUGGUGGUUGGUGUCUCUGCACCCAGGGGGACAGAGGCAGCUGUUUGUUGACCUGAUAACAACAAAAGAGAAGUAACUGAAAACAUCCCAAGACUUGUCAAAAAUGGGUGAUGGCCACCCCAUCUGGUGAUUCGCUUACCGGUUCCUCAGUUUACCCAUUCCCCAUCACUGACUCUUCCACUCCCCCUCAUCUUCACAAAGAGGUGGCCAUUGUCCACAGCUGUUCCCCUUCCAUGUUCAUGAACUCUGACAUUCCCUUAUCUGGCCAGAGUCUAUUGUCACUCUACCUUUCCCUCUGCCUUACAACCCCUAAGCCUGCUUUUCAUCCUCACUGUGACCUCCAAUUCCUCUGCCCCUCAGUUCUUUCCCAAGCCAGGAGAUUUACGUGAGCUGCACUCUCUUCCCUUCCCCAUCUUGACCCCUAGGUGAAUCAGUUCACUUCUACCCUCUCCUCCUGAGACCUUGGACCCCUUAUGCUAUCACUGAUCUUACCCUGCCGAGCCUCAGCCUUGGAUUACCCCCACCAUCCAUUGGUUCCUGCUCCCUUACCGCUGAACAGAGCUGGAGAAAAUAACAAAGCUGGGCUGCCUAAAUCCUCUACAAAUUUAUGUUACAUAAUCUCAAAUAGGUUUUCCCAACAGCUGUUCCUCCAUCUUUUUACACCCCCCCCAAUCAAUUCACUCACUAUUCCAGUCACCACAAUGGCUUUUCCAAACCUUUAGAAAACCUUUUCACCCUUGGCUUCACCCUUUCAGUGAGAACUUUGACUCAUGUAACAUGGGGAAAAAAAUGAGGUCAUCUACCAAGAGUCCUCUCUUCUCCCCUCAUCUCAUACUAUUUACAUGCCUUCUGUCUGUAUCUCCUCCUUCACCCCUAUAUUAUGUAAAGAGAUAGCCUUUCUCCUUACCAAAGCAAACCUUUCCCCAUGAACAAGUGAGCCAAUUCCCUCCUGUCUUCUCCAAUAGAUUAAAGUCCCCUCUGCCAUCCACACUGUCUCAUUAAUCUUCAAUCUCUGUCUGCUGGCUACUUCUCUGCUGCCCACAAACAGAUCCAAGUCUCCCUUAACCUCAGAAAACCUUCUCUUGAUCCUCCCAUCCAAGGGGUGUGCUGGAGCCAGCUUGUACUGAUUCAUAAGAGCUAAUUGUUAAAUUUUCAGUGGGAACAUUUACACCUCAGAAAUUGACUAACACUACAAAAUCAGGGCUUAAGUCAUAUUUUUUGUUGAUUGUCUGUACUUAAGAAAGUGAUGGCGAAAAUGGUAGUGAUGAAAAUUAAACUUAAAAGGGUGUUCUUUCAGAGCACUGGUGGUUAAACUUUUACCAGCACACCACUGCCUCUGUCCCUGGUAGUUUUCAUCUUAUUUCUCUCCUCCUCUUUGUGGCUAAACUCCUCGAGAAGGCCAUCUACAACUGGUGCCUCCACUUCCUCUCUUCUUCUAAGCCCUUUGCAAUCUAGUUUUUUACCUCAUCAUUCAACUGAAACUGCCUUCUUCCGAGUUACCAAUGAUCUCUUAAUUGCCAGAUCUAAUGGCCUUUUCUCAAUCAUCAUUCUUCUUGACCUCUCCGUAGCCUCUGACACCAUUAAUUACCCUCUUCUUGACACUCUCUUCUCUCUAGGUUUUGGCAGCACCUCUCUUUCCUGAUUCUCCUUCUACCUGUCUGACCACUCCUUCUCAGUCUCCUUUGCUGGAUCUUCAUCCAGCUUGUACUUACUAACCAUAGGUGUUGCCCAAGACACUGUCUUGGGCCUUCUUCUUUUCUCUCUCUAUACAAUUUUUCAUCUGCUCCCAUGAAUUCCAUUAUCAUUUCUAUGCAGAUCUAUUUGUCCAGCCCUACCCCCUCUCCUGACUUCCAGUUACAUCUCCAACUGCC